UGGAGCCACACGUUCAGAUGCAAAGCAGAUGCCUCUCUGUGGCAUAUCUGAUGCUGCCAGAGAGUAAAUAUGUUCCUAACUUCGGUUGAGGCAGAGAUAUGCCACCUGUUUAAGGAAAUAUUGAAUCUACAGAAGACAGAAAGCACCAGCAAACUCUCCUUGGACCCUGUGAGGAGUAGAUGUCUCCCGCCUGCUGAACCGUUGCCGCCAGCCUGGGCACCGUUUUGGACUGUUGCAGCGUCCAGCUAGAAAUCCACCCACAGCCUUUCCACAUUCUCCAUCUUUCCCUUGCCCAUGCUUCAGUGGGAUGUGAAGGAAGAAAAAAACAACUCUUGCUGCAAGGAAUAUCUAACUUGGAAGCAAAUUUACUGUGAUGGAAGAGACUUGCAUUUCACAGAAUAUGAACAUUUAAUUUUAUACACUUACUGUAAAAACAAACUUUAUUUUAUUGCAAAUAUGUUGAUAGCAAUACUGAAAUGUGUCAAUUAAAUGAUUAAUUGAAAGAAAAUUGAUUGAUUGUUAAUCAGAUGAUAAUUUAUGUCAUAACACUUGCUGAUUACAGCCUCUCUGUGUGUGUUUCUUUUUUCUCAAUUUAUAUCUCUUGGCUGGUUUGACAUUUGUCAUUAAUUUUGGCAUAUCACAGGCUAAAUGAUUAAUAUCUGAUAUAAAAUGUUUAACAGAUUGAGCAUACAGCAAUUUUUUAAUUUUUUUUUAUCCUUAUCAACAAAUUGAAAAAGACCCACACCAACAAUGCCACAGCCUGAUGUAGCUUAUGCCUCUGCCAUAGAACUUAUUGUCCAAAAACAAUUAAAAACCCAUGAAAUACA